GUACUUGGGCCUUGACUCCACUGUGUGACUUUUGGCGAACUACCUAAUUCUCUGGGGCUCAAUUUCCCCCGUCUGUCAAAUGAAAACAGUACUCUAGGGCCAUGGUUCUCAACGUGUGUAGCCUGGGCCGGCAGCAUUAGCCGUCACCAGGGAGCUUGUUGGAGAUGCAAAUUCUUGAGCCCUCCCUGAAUGGACUAAUUCUGAGACUCUGGGAGUGGGAUCCAGUAAUCUGUGUUUCACAAGCCCUCCUGAGGCUUGAGACUGUAAUUUGGUUAAUUAUUUCCCAGAGCCCCGGUUUGGUGGCUACAGCACAGCACGAGGCAGAGGAACGGAGACAGGUCCUCGGAAGCCUCUUUCCAGAAAAUCUAAUUUCAUCAUUGAGAAAUCUUCUGUCUUAAACAGCCUCUGCCACCGCCAUAAAUUUACAUAUUCUAUAUGCCGCCGGAACGGAGUGGGCCCUAUUUGCAUAAUGCUGCUGGAGGGGCUCAUGCUCCUCUUGAACCUGAAUGUAGCAGGAGCGAGGAAGCAAUUAUUAAGCUGUAGACGUUGGCAGGGAGAGAGGCCUCAGAUGGAUUUCGACUCCAAACCUCAUUCGCCAGGGCUGCUCAUUACCGAAGGCCUGGAUCCCAGGCUGAAGGUGGAUCCCAGGGCUGGGAAAAAUCAGUGUGAAUUGCUUUCUCCAGGUUAUGUCUGCAGCCAGGCCGAGGCCAGAUGUGGGGGGCCUUUGAGCAUCCUGGACAAUUCAUUGCUUUGCUCAGCCAUUUAUUCAACAAUCACAGGACACUGGACACAGAGUUGAACAAAACAAAUGAACUUCCUGCCCUCACAAGGAUUACGCUCUAGAGCAGGAAGACAAACCUUCAUCAAACAACAUCAGUUCCACUCCCAAGGCUCCCCACUCCAUCCCCAUGAUAAGCCAAAGUUGAGUAAACUGGACACCAGAAUAAUAAGUGGGAAAGAGAGGGACAGGUCUGAUGAGUUACCAUGAAAUGAGCACUGGACUGUAGGUCAAGAGGCCAACCCCAGCUUUGCUGCUGACAUUCUGUGUUGUCUUGAACAAGUCACACCCUCUCUUAGGGUCUCCAUUUCUUCAUCCAUAAGUGAAAUAAAUCUAUAAAAAUAUCCACCUGUCUUGUAUCAUGGACUUUAAUGAGAUAAUGUCUAGAAAAGAGAGUUCUAUGGCACAAAUAAAAUAAGUGUAGUAACUAA